UACGGAGGAUGCGAGCGUUAUCCGGAUUUAUUGGGUUUAAAGGGUGCGUAGGCGGCUUUUUAAGUCAGCGGUGAAAUUUUGCAGCUUAACUGUAACAGUGCCGUUGAUACUGGGGAGCUAGGAUUUGGUUGCUGUGGGUGGAAUGUGUGGUGUAGCGGUGAAAUGCUUAGAGAUCACACAGAAUAUCGAUUGCGAAGGCAGCUCACAAAGCCAAGAUUGACGCUGAGGCACGAAAGUGUGGGGAUCAAGCAGGA
rnacentral:rRNA from 1 species